AUUGAACGCUGGCGGCAUGCUUUACACAUGCAAGUCGAACGGCAGCGCGGGCUUCGGCCUGGCUGCGAGUGGCGAACGGGUGAGUAAUGCAUCGGAACGUGCCCAGUAGUGGGGGAUAGCCCGGCGAAAGCCGGAUUAAUACCGCAUACGACCUGCGGGUGAAAGCGGGGGACCGAAAGGCCUCGCGCUAUUGGAGCGGCCGAUGGCGGACUAGCUAGUUGGUGGGGUAGAGGCUUACCAAGGCGGCGAUGGGUAGCUGGUCUGAGAGGAUGACCGGCCAGAGUGGGACUGAGAGAAGGCCCAGACUCCUACGGGAGGCAGCAGUGGGGAAUAUUGCACAAGGGGCGGAAGCCUGAUGCAGCAAAGCCGCGUGCGGGAUGAAGGCCUUCGGGUUGUAAACCGCUUUCGCCUGUGACGAAGCGGGAGUGACGGUAAUGGGUAAAGAAGCACCGGAUAACUACGUG
rnacentral:rRNA from 1 species